AUGCCGUUGUCCUUGUUGUGUAAUACUAUUGUUGCUCAGAUGGUUUCCAUGAUGGCGAAAAAAUCCGUGGAGGAGACUCGCACCAAUGUCGGCGAGAAGCAUGGCAGCCAAAGAAGGAGCAACAGCAGCUUAGGUAAUAGCCGCAGUGUCUGGUGCAGGUCCAGAGGCAGAGAAGCUGACCACCAACAAGGUGUGUCGUCAGGUCUCCCUCAAGAUCAAGAACCACGCGGUGGCAAAGGCGUCGACACGCAGGCAGAGACGGAGAAACUGAUGCUGCCACCGAGCACCCACGGUCCCAACUUCCAUGGAACCCCGCCCAUUGAUACGUCUCCAACGUAUCUAUAA
rnacentral:rRNA from 1 species